GAUGAACGCUGACAGAAUGCUUAACACAUGCAAGUCAACUUGAAUUUGGGUUUUUAACUUAGGUUUGGGUGGCGGACGGGUGAGUAACGCGUAAAGAACUUGCCUCACAGCUAGGGACAACAUUUGGAAACGAAUGCUAAUACCUAAUAUUAUGAUAAUAGGGCAUCCUAUAAUUAUGAAAGCUAUAAGCGCUGUGAGAGAGCUUUGCGUCCCAUUAGCUAGUUGGAGAGGUAACGGCUCACCAAGGCGAUGAUGGGUAGCCGGCCUGAGAGGGUGAUCGGCCACAAGGGGACUGAGACACGGCCCUUACUCCUACGGGGGGCAGCAGUGGGGAAUAUUGGACAAUGGACCGAGAGUCUGAUCCAGCAAUUCUGUGUGCACGAUGAAGUUUUUCGGAAUGUAAAGUGCUUUCAGUUGGGAAGAAACAAGUGACGGUACCAACAGAAGAAGUGACGGCUAAAUACGUG
rnacentral:rRNA from 1 species